GACGAACGCUGGCGGCGUGCUUAACACAUGCAAGUCGAACGGUAAGGCCCUUCGGGGUACACGAGUGGCGAACGGGUGAGUAACACGUGGGUGAUCUGCCCUGCACUUCGGGAUAAGCCUGGGAAACUGGGUCUAAUACCGGAUAGGACCACUGCCUGCAUGGGUGGUGGUGGAAAGCUUUUGCGGUGUGGGAUGGGCCCGCGGCCUAUCAGCUAGUUGGUGGGGUAACGGCCUACCAAGGCGACGAUCCGUAGCUGAUCUUAGAGGAUGAUCAGCCACACUGGGACUGAGACACGGCCCAGACUCCUACGGGAGGCAGCAGUGGGGAAUAUUGCACAAUGGGCGCAAGCCUGAUGCAGCGACGCCGCGUGAGGGAUGACGGCCUUCGGGUUGUAAACCUCUUUCAGCACCGACGAAGCGCAAGUGACAGUAGGUGCAGAAGAAGGACCGGCCAACUACGUGCCAGCAGCCGCGGUAA
rnacentral:rRNA from 1 species